UUUUUAAAACUCCCAAACGGACUUUUCAUUGAGCUUCCGGUCUCCGUUGACGCUCUUCCCUCCCCCCAGUCUCCGGACCUGGUGGUUCUUGCCUGAUGAGACUUCCAGAACUACAUGAAAUCAAUUAUGCAAACUGUGAACCUUGAUGACCCCAACCGCCACCGUCUGCCUCAUGUCACGGACAGCGAAGCGACCUAGGACACAGGACAUGAAGAAACAAAUGGGGAAUGCUACCAAGGCACGAGCUAGGACACUUGCACGGGAGGCCAACUUCUUGCCUGAGCGCCGGUCGAUCUUCUCCCUGAGCUCUGCAAACUUACAGGCGAUGUGGGCCGUGUGGCAGUCCAGAACUGCAGAGAGCCUGAGUAACUUACCCAUGAUGGAACAGCAGGCAAGUGGCAGAGCUGGGGAGCAUGUUUUAAAGUCAGAGUGACGCGGGGCCAAAUGACAGAGCGCCUAGGCAGGCAUGUGGACCACUGGCACAUGGUCAGCAAGCCCUCAAUCAGUAGUAGCAAACACGUGCCAUUGGGAGGUGACUGGGACGGUCAAGGUGGCCUGUAGGGAGCUCUCUCUCUGGCUGCAAAGGGAAGGAUGGGCCGGAGCAGGCAAGACCGGAAGCUGUUUGAACGGCUGCUGUUGUCCAGGGGUGAGAAAUGCUGUCUAAACCAGAGGCAUGGCGUUCGGGGCAGAGAAGGGGCAGAGAAAGGGCAGCCGUGUACGAGCUCGAAUUCACAGGACUCGAUGUAGGCGACUGGGGGGAGGGAGAGGUUGCAAAAUGGCAGCCAGGUCUCCAGCAUGGGUGUUGGGUGAUUGCAAGGCUGGCUUCAGAGGCGUGUGACCAUCCCACACUCAGAAGGGCCCCGUUCUUGUUUCAGGCCCUGCUGUCACUGUCCUGAAGUUAUUAAUAAUUUUUAAAGAAGCUCCGAGCCCUGCAUUUCCAUUUUGCACCAGGCCCUGGGAAUUAGGUAGCCUGUGCGGGUGGUUGGGAGUUCAUGGAUCAAGAAGGGGAAUCUGGAGAAGGCAGAAGCUUGAAGAGAAAGAUGCAGAGUUCGGAGCGAGCCCCCCGUUGUGCCAACGUUCAGAAGCUUUCCGGUCUUUUCUACAGGCCUCUUUUUCUUGGGCAGCAGGGAAAAGGGGCCACAUCCCCCGGGGGGCUUUCUCCCUUAGAGACCUUUCUCCUGAGGGGUUGCCUGACCAGGAGGGGCCCUUCUUCUCACCCUCCAUCUCUGAGGCCUGUUACCCUCCGAUCCAGGGUCCUCCAGGCUCUCCAUUCUUCCUCACGAACCCCCGCUUCUCCAAGAUCCCUGGGCCAGAGCAGGGAGGAGCUGGCCUCUGGUGGUCCCAGGAGGAUGUCCAGCCUGUACCCUCUCUCUGGAGAUGGCUGGGUGACACCAGCUGAUCCCUGCCAAGAAACCUUUCUUAUUUCACAACCACCAAAGCAGCAGUUGAGGGCAAGGGCUUUAGAUCCUCAGGUGGGUACAAAUCAGGUGCUGACUGUAUUCCCUUCAGGACUUUUUAAGGCCUCAGCUGCCUUAUCUGUGGGGUGACCACAUUCUUCAUUAACCCUUCUAAGAAAUAAAGGCGAGCGUGAGCAUGACAUACACACUCAUUAUCCUGGGACAGUGGGCACAAACUGAGACCGUCCCUGGUAAAUCGGGACAUACAGCUCCCCGACUUAUCCAUAAAGUCGGAUUAAGUGGAACCACACACAGAAAGCAGGGGGCACGAAGGAAGUGCUCGGGGGACAGCACCUAUUGCCAUGAAUACCCUCUGCAUUCACCCUCGACCCAUGUCUGAAUCUCGGUCACCCACCAGUCAGUCACUGACACCCAGCGCGUGUCAGGUGCCCAGCGUUGGUGGCCCUGAUAAAGAUGGACGGCCGUUCACCUAUUCAGCCAACGUGUCGUGAGCAGCUCAUCUGGGCCAGGCCCUGGGCCAGGUUCCAGGGACCCACAGAUAAGUGACACUGCUUGCCUUUCUGGGGCUUGCAGUCACACAGGCUGUGGUGGGUUGCAUAGGGUCCUCCCCGAAAUUCAUAUCCACUCAGAAUAUGACCUUAUUUGGGUCUUUGCAGUUGUAAUUAAGGAUGGAGAUGAGAUCAUACUGGGUGACGGUGGGCCCUAAAUCCAAAGAGAACGUCCUUAUAGGAGACAGGACACAGAGGGACAUCGAGGGAACAGCCUUGUGGAGGCAGAAGAGACUGGAGGGCUGUCACACUCCAAGAACGCCAAGGAUUUUGCCCGUGGCCACCAGAGGAAAGGAGAAAGGCAUGGAAUGGAUUCUCCCUUUGAGCCUUCAGAAGGAACCAACCCAUGCCGGCAUUUUGAUUUCAGACUUCCGGCCUCCAGAACUGUAAGAAUAUAAAUUUCUGUUGUUUUAAAGCCACCAAGUUUGUAGCAAUGUGUUACUGCAGCCCAAAGAAAGUAACACGUAGAGGAUACAGGUGCUAGGACAUUGAUAAACAGAGAAUUCUCAAACAGCAGCUACCUCUGGGGGAAGAGAUGACUGGGAGGCCAGAGAAGGGGGCUUCCGGGGACUGGUCAUGUUCGUUUCUCGAUCAGGUUAUGCAGACGUGUUCACUUUGUGACAACGUAUUGAGCUGUACGUUUAGGAUUUGUCGGGUUUUUCCCCAUUAAAAAAAAAUUUGGGGCGCCUGGGUGGCGCAGUCGGUUAAGCGUCCGACUUCAGCCAGGUCACG